AUGUUUAAAUUUACUCUUGGUGAUUGGCGUGGAGCCUCCUUUUCCACGUCGGAUUAACUAGAGGCUCACCCUGGUCCUCCUGGGCCCUCAUACUUCCCCACAGGGCUCAUCCAGCGCUUCUGGAGCAGCAGGGAAGCUUUGCCACAGGAUCCAGCAUCUCAGGGCACAGUAUCUUGCACGGCUGACUUGAUCUCACUUUCUUCCUCGGAGCAGCUGUGUGGCAAUUCAGAGGUGAAGAGGCAGAUAACUGGACAGUGGAAUUGAGUCCUGUGUGAUACAGAGCUAAAAAAGAAAUUCCUUCAGUUUGAACAGCAGUGUGGAAAGAACCCAACAAACAAAACUCUGUAUGUACAGCAAAUGAAGCCAAAGGGUGGCUUGAGAACAGUGGAGUUCUGCUUGGAUGUGAUGAGACCACCAGCCGGAAAGCUCAGAGGCAUUACUCAUGAUGCAAGGCUGCUGUCAAGUAAUGAUUUAACUUGAAAAUGCCAUCUAUUCUUUUCCCUACCUGCUUACUCAGUACAUUGCAAAUUAACAUGAAAAGUGACUUCAGCACAAAUUUUUUAAUUUGUUUUUGUCAGGG
rnacentral:lncRNA from 1 species